GCUUGAUGAAGUGUAUGUUUUUAGGACACUCCCUCUGGUUGUGGGCAGAGUGUAGGUGCCAGCAAGGCAGUUAUUGCCAGGAUGACCAGACGUUCUUGCCUGGAGCUGUCUGGAGAUUGUUACGCCCCUGGGUUCUGGGGAGACCUUUGGGAUGGACCAGGGGCCUCCCCACUCCCUACAGGCAUCGUGUUCUACCCACCAAGAACCUACCGGGCAACGACGACAGGGAGGACACAAUUCCUGGGACAUGGCGCCAACAGUAGGUACAGGCGCUGUCAGGGCAUCUGCAGGAGGCUCCGGGACACUCCCCUCACGGGAACGAGGCCUCCCUCUCCCAUCUCCAGACCAGGAGGGGAACCCUGGAAAGGCAGCAUUGCUAACCCUUGUGGAGAGAGGUGAGAGCGAGCCACUGGGGAUAGAAUCUGAAGUAGGUCAGGCCUUCAGAGCCUUGGAGGGGCUGGAACAGGAGAAGGGCAGAGAGGGCACAGCCACGCUUGGCUGGUUGCCUGGUGUCUGGCAGAGAAUCCUGGGCUGGGAGCAGGGGGUUCAGGCUCUGGCCCAAGCUUUGUCUGCUUGUGUGAGGCUGAGCUAACUAAUCUGUCCUCCUGGCUUCACUUUCUUCAUCUGUAAAAUGGAUCUUCCUCCUUCAACAAAUGCCCCAGGAAAAAGUAUAAUACAGCUCCUCUAACUUCCACAAAUAAUAAAACUUUCUCAAAAAGCAACCAUGCUGGGCGUCUAGGGGAGAUACCAGGAGGGUGGCAUACGUGUUGGGAGGUCCCUGUGUCACAGGCUUGCUGCAAUUCACAUCCUCCCAGAAACUGCAAGGGAACAGCCACCUUCUGGCCUUGACAGUUUCAGAAUUUCAGAGGAGGGUCCCUGGAUCCUUGGCAGCUGGGAGGAACUGACAGGCCCUGUGGUAUGGGAGGUGGAGGCACACCCAGGACAGUCUGGCAGGGGUGGAAACCUCUCUGCCACACAGCUGAGUGUCCCCACCACCUCCAUCUCUCUGAGCUUCAAUUCCUUGAUUUUUAAGGUAAGGAUAAUAAUGCUGGCCUCAUGUGCCAGGGUAGGGGAGAAAAACUGAGAAGACAGAGGGGUCACAUUUACGCGGUUCAUUGUUCUAUCCCUGGUGCCCAGUUGGCCUCCGGUAAAUGUUUGUUGAAUGAAUGCAAGUGAAGUGCACAGUUCAGGGACUGCUGUAGAAUCAAUGGCUGCUGCCAUCAGUCCCCACUCCCCUGCCCCCAGCUCUACCUCCAUCGCCAUCAGUGGCAGUUACUGGCUCUGACAUUUUGCACUCUCAGGGGGUCCUCACCUCACCCCAGCCCUGUAUUCCGUCCAAUUCAGCUUCACUGGGUUGGUGGGGAGCUGUCCAUGCCUCUCACCACGCUCUGCUCUCUGCGGCUGCCAGAAGCCUCCAUUGUUUGCCCCACCAGAUGCCGAGGUGUGCUGUGAAAGCUGUCUCCCAAAAGGAAGCAGGGGUAUCUGGACCUCAGCCGGGGUCACCCACCGCUGCCCUGCCCUGUCCUGCCUGGUAUUGUCUUCCUGCUCUAGGGUGGGGCCACCUCAACGCCACUGGCUCUCUGCAGCGCCAGCCCGACCCAGCCUUGUCUACCCCUCCCUGUCCUGCUGGGAUGUGGGCUGCAGCUGCCCCUUCUGGCUUGGGAGGGGAGUUUCCCUCAUGCAU
rnacentral:lncRNA from 1 species